ACAGCCAUAUCAUACUAAAACACUGAUUCUCAUCUGAUCAGCAUAGUUAAGCAACAUUUAGCCUGGUCAGUACUUAGAUGGAUGUCUGCUUAGGAAUACUAGGUGCUGUAAG